UACGUAGGGUGCAAGCGUUAAUCGGAAUUACUGGGCGUAAAGCGUGCGCAGGCGGUUCUAUAAGACAGAUGUGAAAUCCCCGGGCUCAACCUGGGAACUGCAUUUGUGACUGUAGAGCUGGAGUGCGGCAGAGGGGGAUGGAAUUCCGCGUGUAGCAGUGAAAUGCGUAGAUAUGCGGAGGAACACCGAUGGCGAAGGCAAUCCCCUGGGCCAACACUGACGCUCAUGCACGAAAGCGUGGGGAGCAAACAGG
rnacentral:rRNA from 1 species